rnacentral:miRNA from 1 species
UGACUAGAAUGUUCACCUUCUUU